rnacentral:rRNA from 1 species
GUGGGGAAUAUUGGGCAAUGGGCGCAAGCCUGACCCAGCAACGCCGCGUGAGGGAAGAAGGCUUUCGGGUUGUAAACCUCUGUCCUUGGUGACGAAACAAAUGACGGUAGCCAAGGAGGAAGCCCCGGCUAACUACGUGCCAGCAGCCGCGGUAAUGCGUAGGGGGCGAGCGUUGUCCGGAAUUACUGGGCGUAAAGGGUGCGUAGGUGGCCUUUUAAGUUGGAUGUGAAAUACCCGGGCUUAACUUGGGGGGUGCAUCUAAUACUGGAGGGCUAGAGUGCAGGAGAGGGAAGCGGAAUUCCUAGUGUAGCGGUGAAAUGCGUAGAUAUUAGGAGGAACACCAGUGGCGAAGGCGGCUUUCUGGACUGUAACUGACACUGAGGCACGAAAGCGUGGGGAGCAAACAGGAUUAGAAACCCUUGUAGUCC